CUAUAAUUGGCAAGAAAGACCAAGCUUAAUGUCAAAGCCGUUUGAUAAGUCUGAGAUCACAGAAUGUCUAGGCCAAGACUUAGUCAGAAUGAAACAUGUUUCUGGAGAACAGGAAGCAAGGCCACAUGCUGAGCAGGAGGAGCCAGCACAGGGUGGAGUAGUGAAGGGCCACUCUGCCGCAGCCGCGUCUCAAUGGAUUUCACUGUGGCACAAAAUGUUCCUGCGGUCCAAAAUUGAGAAGGGAAUUGAAACAAGGG
rnacentral:lncRNA from 1 species